UACGUAGGGUGCGAGCGUUGUCCGGAAUUAUUGGGCGUAAAGAGCUCGUAGGCGGUGUGUCGCGUCGGCCGUGAAAACCUGGGGCUCAACUCUGGGCGUGCGGUCGAUACGGGCAUCACUUGAGUUCGGCAGGGGAGACUGGAAUUCCUGGUGUAGCGGUGAAAUGCGCAGAUAUCAGGAGGAACACCGGUGGCGAAGGCGGGUCUCUGGGCCAUUACUGACGCUGGAGGCACGAAAGCUAGGGGAGCGAAUGGG
rnacentral:rRNA from 1 species